rnacentral:rRNA from 1 species
GUGAACGCUGGCGGUGGGCCUAACACAUGCAAGUCGAACGGCAGCACAGUAAGAGCUUGCUCUUACGGGUGGCGAGUGGCGGACGGGUGAGGAAUACAUCGGAAUCUACUUUUUCGUGGGGGAUAACGUAGGGAAACUUACGCUAAUACCGCAUACGACCUACGGGUGAAAGCAGGGGAUCUUCGGACCUUGCGCGAUUGAAUGAGCCGAUGUCGGAUUAGCUAGUUGGCGGGGUAAAGGCCCACCAAGGCGACGAUCCGUAGCUGGUCUGAGAGGAUGAUCAGCCACACUGGAACUGAGACACGGUCCAGACUCCUACGGGAGGCAGCAGUGGGGAAUAUUGGACAAUGGGCGCAAGCCUGAUCCAGCCAUACCGCGUGGGUGAAGAAGGCCUUCGGGUUGUAAAGCCCUUUUGUUGGGAAAGAAAAGCAGCAGGUUAAUACCCCGCUGUUCUGACGGUACCCAAAGAAUAAGCACCGGCUAACCUCGUG